CAACGAAGCGGAAGGAAAAGAGAAGGAUGGGGCACUAAAGAGAAUUUGGACGCCAAAGACGGAAAUCUCCCAUUCUGCAUUACCAGCUUUAUCGUUGAGUUCGUGACUUCGUUUAGCACAUGCAGGUGAGUUUGUAGGUUUGUUAUGGACGAAUUGGAUCUGGACUGGAUACGACCGGAGUGCCCCGUUGAAAAGACUGCAACAAAAGCCCAUUGUAUUCUCUCAACCACUCAUCUUCUUGCAAUGCCCUGCUAGCUGCUCCAAAUUGAGGAAAAGCAACCAAAAUGGUGAAGAUUAUUAGUAGCAUUAUGAAGAGGGUCAUCUUGUAAGAGAAUGCCAUCUCUAGCGGUGACAGUAACUAACUUAUCAAUGGUACAAAAAAUUGAAGUUUUUGGAUGACGAAAUGUUGGAAUAUAAUGAGAGGUUUGUAUGGUAUGGUAUUGAAGGUGAAAGGUAGGAGGUAGGUAGCCCCAGACACACACAUAUAUAUAUAGGGAGGGUCCUAUUUGAAAUGUUGAAUUGACCAGUGCUUCUUGUGGUUGAUGAAUAGUUUAGCUUGACUGGGUAUGAUUUGAAAAUUGAAAACUAGCUAAAACAACAUUGGCGAAUAAAAUAUAAGAAAAGUAAAUCCUACGCCAAAACACCCUCUUGUCGGACACUAAAACACCGUGUUGCCUAGAAAGUGUUUAAUCCAUAAAUUGAACUUUUACCUUUUAGAUAGUAGAUAUAUACUAUAUUUUAUUUAUAAUGCUUGGUGUUGUUUAACAACGCUACUGUUAUAUGAUUUUUAAACGAUAUUGACCGAGUACGUCUUAAUUGUA